UCUGAUCCGUGGCUCCGAUAAGUCGCUUUCCGUCAAAGCGAGUCAGCCUCGAAUUGAAUGCAUGCCGAGACCCGAGAGUCUUCUUCUCCAACGCGGCCGCCAUUCAGGUACUGUAACUCGCAAGGGAGAGGUCGAGGGAGUGGGAGAACAGGCGGCGGACACGCAUCAGAGUUCCUCAUGCAGCAAUCAGGAGAUCGACUCUGAUUGAAGAGGUUGGGGAGAGUCUGGUGCCGGGAGGUACGCCGGCGGAUGGUUCCAGGCGAACGUUGGUGGUGGUGGCGCUGCCGGAGGGCACAGGUGUUAGCGGCGAAGAGCGGAUCUGCAGGGCGUCUGGACCACCGGCAAUGGGCAGAGAUGGUCGAAUCUGUAGCGCGGCUCAAGCAGCAGUAGGUAGAAGGGACAGUUCGCCUCUGACUUCUGAGCUGUCGACGGAGAAGAUGAAUCCCCAGGCUUUGGAAUAAGAGGCUGAGAUUGGUACUGCUGCUCCUAGCAGGACCCCUUGCCCAACUCGCGUUAGCACAUUUGAGAAGGAAGUAGAGGUGUUCGUAUAAAACCCGACUGAAAAUGUUAUCACUCUGACGAUGGGUACUACUUUUGACUCGCUGGGUGAAGCACAAAAUCUCUACAACUUGUAUUCUUUGGAGAAGGGGCUUGGGAUUAUGUAUGGUAUAAAAGCCAACUCAAUGUUGAGAGCACGAAGUGUAUUCAAGAAAUUGUCUGCAAAUGCUCGGGAAAGCUGGCAUGGAGAACACGGUCAUGUCAUUGCGGAUGCCAGCGUGGAUAUGAAAAUUGUUUGCAGUCACGGAAAAUGGCAGCAGGUUUGAUGGUGUACACUUUAUGCAGUAAAAAGUUGAGGAGACAGAUCAUGAGAAGAAUGAGAAUUUAGGGCAGGAGAUUGUGGCCACCACUGAGAAAGAAGUAGGGACAGAACCAUUGGAUGGUACGAAUGUUUGCAGUGAGAUCUGAAGCUCGUGAAAGAGGAAAUUGUGCGCAUCAGUAAAUGAAAGACCAUCAGCCAGGGCUGGUCCAAUAAUUGGUCGGCGUAGCACCGCUGAAGAGCGUGGGAAGAAGAUACUUCAGGAGGAGUCAGGGAUGGAAUCUUCCGACAGUGAUGAAUACGGGGAACAUGGCACGGUAUCUCCGUAGGCAAGCGAAACGCAUGACCAUAGAGGAGGUGGGGAUCCAAAUUAUGAAUCCUGGAGGGGCCCGGGGCCCCGGGCAGUACGAACAUCAGCGCCUACAACUGUUAGUGUGAACAGGGGAGAUGCGCCUACAACUGUUAGUGUGAACAGGGGAGAUGCAGACGUGAAUAAUGUUGUACCACUUGUUCAGGACAAAAGAUAACAAUUGCCAGGUGAUGCUGGUUUACUGGAUGCUGUUCUGGAGGAGAUCAACGCGAUGCAUGUUCGUGCCUAAGAUAGUGGUCUGCCAGAUCCACUCUGAUUGAGGAGGUUGGGGAGAGUCUAGUGUUGGAAGAGUCGCUGGCUCAUGGCACCAGGCACACAGUGGUCGAGGUGACGCUGCAGGAGGCCACGGGUGUGAGCGCCAAAGGGCGGAUCUGCGGCGCAGCUGAAGCGGCGACAGUGACAAGGGGCAGCUCGCCUCCGACUUCCGAGCUGUCGACGGGAAGAUUAAUCCCCAGGCUCCUGGUUGGAACAAGAGGCACUGAGCUUCAAAUUAAGCUUGUGCAGCAUUGGAAGCUGUCCAAGGGAAUCACCGGGGACCGAGCCAAAGCCUUGCAGGGACUUUCCUCUUCUCCCUCCCCAAUCCCGCCGAUGCUCUCUUCAGUCCCUGCUCUGCCUCCUCCUCUUCUUCUCCCAGUCUAGUUGUUAAGAAAGUCUUGAAGGUUGUUAAGAAAGCCCGAAGAGUCUUGUCGUGAUUAUUCCGGCGGAGAUGAUGAUUCAAACAAGUUGUGAAGCUGUUGUUGGAGAAAUGUCACUGUGAAGCUCAUCAUUUUGUUCUGUUUUAUCAAUGUUUGCUGGGACAUGUCGAUCAUUUCCCUCCUGCAUGAGGUCGAACUAAUCUUUGUCCCGAAACUCGCGCACCUUGCACUCUGCUUCUCAACUUUCAACUGUCGAGCAAUGAUUUGUGUUACUCAUGUGUUUAAUUAUGAAUAGUACUAUUUGCCGUAUA